CCUACGGGAGGCAGCAGUGGGGAAUCUUGCGCAAUGGGCGAAAGCCUGACGCAGCAACGCCGCGUGCGGGAUGAAGGCCCUCGGGUUGUAAACCGCUUUCAGUGGGGACGAACCAAAACGGAACCCACCUAAGAAGGUCCGGCCAACUACCUGCCAGCCACCGCGGUAAU
rnacentral:rRNA from 1 species